rnacentral:ncRNA from 2 species
GAAAUGCGAUAAGUAAUGUGAAUUGCAGAAUUCAGUGAAUCAUCGAAUCUUUGAACGCACCUUGCGCUCCUUGGUAUUCCGAGGAGCAUGCCUGUUUGAGUGUCAUGAAAACCCUCAACCCUAGAUUGGUUAAAACCUUUCUUUGGUUUGGAUUUGGACGUUUGCCGAUGAUAAGUCGGCUCGUCUUAAAAGUAAUAGCUGGAUCUGUCUCGCGACAUGGUUUGACUUGGCGUAAUAAGUAUUUCGCUAAGGACAUCUUCGGAUGGCCGCGUUGCAGGACUAAAGACCGCUUUCUAAUCCAUUGAUCUUCGGAUUAAUACUCUUGACAUCUGGCCUCAAAUCAGGUAGGACUACCCGCUGAACUUAA